rnacentral:lncRNA from 8 species
CAACGGACGAGUAGCUGUUAUAAUCACCGUCCGGCAGAUCAUCCUCUCUUGCGUUAGAGACAACCUACUGCAACACUGUCACGGAAAAAACAGUAGUUUACUGGGCUAUUCCAUUAAUACUCUCCUCCAAUACCGAAUACACAACUGGGACCAAAGAAAGUCUCCAUUCCAUCUUUCCUGUCCCGCCUGUCUCUCUCUCCUUCCCUUCCUUUCUGUCUCUCUUCCCCUGUCUCCCCCCUCCUUUCCUUCUCUCUCUGUGAUGAGGAGCUGUGGGUAAGGCUGUGGGUGAGGGUCCGUGUCCAGUCUGAAGCUGGGGAAGCUAAAGGUGGUGCGGCGGCAGCUGCUGCAGAGGUAAACUACUAGUGUGUGUGUUGUCUUGUGUAGAAGAUUCCAUUCUAAAUGAUAGAUGAUACAGUACUAUAGUUUAAGCUGUCGUUAACAGGUAUACUAGUAUCAUUAUAGUGUGUUGUUCUCAGGUGAUAUUAUAGUAUAUUCUUGUAUAUUGCAUUAUAUUUUAGUAUUAUUGUAGUAUAUUCUUGUAUAUUGCAUUAUAUUAUAGUAGUAUAUUCUUGUAUAUUGCAUUAUAUUAUAGUAUUAUUGUAGUAUGUUUGUCAAGUGUCAGUGUGUAGCGGGUCGGACGAAGUCAGGCGCAGGACACAGAACUGAGUAAAAAUGUAACUUUACUCGAAAAUAAACCAAACAUAUAUUCCACACUGGGAAACACACCAGCUCACAGAAAUACUGACCACUUCACAAUGAACAAACACGCACAAAACCAUGUGGGAACCAGAGGGUUAAAUAGGGAGUAAAUUAUAACGUAAUGGAAACCAGGUGUGGAUAAUCAAGACAAAACAACAUAGAAAAAGAAACGUAGAUCGGUGGUGGCUAGAAAGCCGGUGACGUCGACCGCUGAACGCCGCCUGAACAGGGAGAGGCACCAACUUCGGCGGAAGUUGUGACAGUAACCCCCCCUUGACACCGGCCUCGGGGACGACCCGGAGGACGAGGCGCAGGACGAUUCGGGUGGAGACGGUGAAAUUCCUGCAGUAAGGAAGGGUCCAGGAUGUCCUCCACCGGCACCCAGCAUCUCUCCUCCGGACCGUACCCCUCCCACUCCAAGAGGUACUGAAGGCCCC